rnacentral:rRNA from 2 species
GAGUUUGAUCCUGGCUCAGAUUGAGCGCUGGCGGCGUGCCUAACACAUGCAAGUCGAGCGGUAACAGGUGUAGCAAUACAUGCUGACGAGCGGCGGACGGGUGAGCAAUAUUUGGGAAUCUGCCUAUUAGUGGGGGACAACCCGGGGAAACUCGGGCUAAUACCGCACACGCACUACGGUGGAAAGCCGGGGACCGCAAGGCCUGGCGCUAAUAGAUGAGCCCAAAUCGGAUUAGCUAGUUGGUGAGGUAAUGGCUCACCAAGGCUACGAUCCGUAGCUGGUCUGAGAGGACGACCAGCCACACCGGAACUGAGACACGGUCCGGACUCCUACGGGAGGCAGCAGUGGGGAAUAUUGGACAAUGGGCGAAAGCCUGAUCCAGCGACGCCGCGUGGGUGAAGAAGGCCUGCGGGUUGUAAGCCCUUUCGGUGGGGAAGAAAAGCCUCGACCUAACACGUCGGGGUCUUGACGUAACCCCAUAGAAGAAGCACCGGCUAACUCUGUGCCAGCAGCCGCCGUAA